rnacentral:rRNA from 1 species
AUUGAACGCUGGCGGCAGGCUUAACACAUUCAAGUCGAGCGGGGGAAGGUAGCUUGCUACCGGACCUAGCGGCGGACGGGUGAGUAGUGCUUAGGAUCUGCCUAUUUGUGGGGGCCAACAUCUCGAAAGGGAUGCUGAUACCGCAUACAUUCUACGGGAGAAAGCAGGGGCUCUUCGGACCUUGCGCUUAUAGCUGAACCUAAGACGGAUUGGCUAGUUGGUGGGGUAAAGGCCUACCAAGGCGACGAUCUGUAGGGGGUCUGAGAGGCUGAUCCGACACUCUGGGACUGAGAAACAGGCCAGAGUCCUACGGGAGGCAGCAGUGGGGAAUAUUGGACAAUGGGGGGAACCCUGAUCCAGCCAUGCCGCGUGUGUGAAGAAGGCCUUAUGGUUGUAAAGCACUUUAAGCGAGGAGGAGGCUACUUUAGUUAAUACCUAGAGAUAGUGGACGUUACUCGCAGAAUAAGCACCGGCUAACUCUGUGCCAGCCGCCGCCGUAA